AGUUCUUUCGUAUUGUCAGGAAUAUCUCCCUUAGGAAAUCAAACUACUGCUUUCUCUUGGACUUUUAGAAAUGCAUUUCUAACUUCUAUGAUUAUCGUAUCUACAAUAGGUUAUGGGACAGUGUUUCCUAGAACUGCUGGUGGACAGAUGUUCUGUGUUGUCUUUGCUGCAAUUGGAAUCCCUCUAACCAUCAUAGUCUUUAAACAUGUUAGUACAUUAGUUUUUCUGCCAUUUGAAACACUUGGAAACUACCUUGAAAGUAAGGGAGUAAGUGAGAAAAAUGCUUCUCUUUGGAAAAUUGUACUUUUCAUUGUAAUUGGAUCGCUUUUGUUUCUGGUAUUACCACCGUUUGUUUUCAUGUCAUUAGAGAAUUGGACUUUCAUUGAAGGACUGUAUUAUUCAUUCACCACCAUAAGUGCUAUUGGUUUAGGAGACUACACAGUAGGUGAGUCUUAAUAAUCUUGAAAUAAUAUUCUCUAUCACAGCAACAGAUUGAAACAGAAUGUAAAAAAAGGCCCAACUAGAAAUGUUAACAGAUUUCUUUGAACAAUAAGAUGAAGGUCAGUCCUUUUCAAGAAAUCUCCAGGAUAUAAAUAAACCCAUCCA